rnacentral:lncRNA from 1 species
CUAUCAAUACUGUACCUCAGACAUCUACCAGUGACUGGAUGGAACACAUUGAAGAUUCAAGUGAUGGCAAAAAUUAUGACAAUGAUUGGGUGAUUGAUACAGUAAGCAGUAAACAAAUGAAUGCUAUCAAUACAGUGCCUCAACCAUCAACCAGUGACUGGAAGGAUCACAUUGAUGACUUAAGUGAUG